UGGUUAUUCUCCACUCUGUCCUUCCCGCACCGAAUACGUCUGUCCCCAGCCCUGGCACUAACAGCUCUCUCUGUCCUCUGCCACCAGCAGCAUGAAACUGCAGUACAAGGGGCAGAAGCCAUUUCAGCCUGUGACACAGUCACUGUACCCUCAGCCCAAGCUUCUGGAGCAAAGGCCUGCAGAGCUGCUGACCCUCACGCCCUGGUUGGCGCCCAUUGUCUCGGAGGGAACCUUCAACCCCGAGCUGCUGCAACACAUCUACCAGCCGCUGAACCUGACCAUCGGGCUCACAGUGUUUGCCGUGGGCAAGUGAGUAGUGGGCCCGGUGGGUGGUUCUCACUGAGCCACGGGAGCUGCCGGUCUGGGAAGAGACAGGACCUGGACACAGGACCCUGCCUGGACGGCAGGGACGCCCUGAACCAGGCACCGUGUGUGGGGGGGGGAAGAUAGGGGGUAGAGGGUGAUGAUGGGAGGGCUUCCUGGAAGAGGGCAUCUGGCCCUGGCACGGAAGCGGGGAGCCGGCCCCGGUGACGGAGCAGCGGGAGACUUUGUGACGACACCCCCUUGC